UACGGGGGGGCAAGCGUUGUUCGGAAUUACUGGCGUAAAGGGCUCGUAGGUGGCCAACUAAGUCAUACGUGAAAUCCCUCGGCUUAACCGGGAACUGCGUCUGAUACUGGAUGGCUUGAGGUUGGGAGAGGGAUGCGGAAUUCCAGGUGUAGCGGUGAAAUGCGUAGAUAUCUGGAGGAACACCGGUGGCGAAGGCGGCAUCCUGGACCAAUUCUGACACUGAGGAGCGAAAGCCAGGGAGCAAACGGG
rnacentral:rRNA from 1 species